AAAGCUAUGGAUACUAUUUCGACAGCACUCAAAAAAUCGUUAAAGUUUCAUUGAUCGUAAUGAUGUUAUUAGAAAAAAAAAAUCGACCUUGGGCGAGCCACAGGGGUCUGAAUCGGUAUUCUAUUAUAAUUAUUAUUGUCUCAAAACUGAAAUCGAUGUAAUAAAACAUCGUUGCAAUUGAACUACGACAAACGAUUCCUAAUGGGUUUACCGAAGUACCUGUAUGUUAUACUUUUAUUAACACCUAUGUGAUUAGACGUUUUCAAACAUUCUCGCGGUAAAUAUUUCUUUAGAUUUUUUUUUUUUAAUUUACAUUUAUCAAAUUUACGGAAUAAAUAAUAUGAAACAACGCGAGUGACUUUGUCUUGCAAACGUAAGACUCUAAAAAUUUACAUUUAAUGGAGUCAGCAUAGUGUUGUUGCCAGUUUCAACAUUAAAUUGACAUCAUAACAACAUCAAACCUAAAGAUGAUAACAUUGUCUA